UACGUAGGGGGCAAGCGUUGUCCGGAUUAUUGGGCGUAAAGAGCGUGUAGGCGGCCAGACAGGUCCGUUGUGAAAACUAGAGGCUUAACCUCUAGACGUCGAUGGAAACCGUCUGGCUAGAGUCCGGAAGAGGAGAGUGGAAUUCCCAGUGUAGAGGUGAAAUUCGUAGAUAUUGGGAAGAACACCGGUGGCGAAGGCGGCUCACUGGCUCGAGUUACUGACGCUCAGGCGCGACAGCGUGGGGAGUCAAACAGG
rnacentral:rRNA from 1 species